GACGGAGAGAAAACACCGGCCCCGCCCCACUUCCACAGCUCCAGGUUUCCUUUUAAACCUCCUCCCACAGAUGCUGUUUGGAUCUGCCGCAGGGAGACACGGAGAUGACCUUUGUCUACAGAGCCACUGUGUAAUCUUCCAUAGAAGGCCUCUCUGUGCUCCCAGCCAGGACCCAAGCCCAAGCUAAACUCAAGCCAAGGACUCUCCCCUGAGACCAGCCAGAGCUCCUCCCUUCUUUCCCCCACCCUGGCCCUGGGCUAGAUCCAACCCUCGGGCCCCCACUCUGCUUUCAGCUCUUCCUCAGCUUCCAGCCGCACCUGGAUGUCCAAGAGCCUGAGAACCAGAAGACCAGGUCUUAUCACAGGCCUGGGGAGCUCCAAGCCAGCUCUGGCUGUCCUGCACCUCAGGCUGUGCUUCCCCACCCCCGGAGCAGAGUCCCGUGGCUUCCCUGCAGCCCAACACCCACCCAGGGACAGUGUGGGGCAUUGCUGUUGGCACAGAUUAAUGACUCAAUCACCAC